GACGAACGCUGGCGGCGUGCCUAACACAUGCAAGUGGAGCGACGAACCGGGCUUCGGCCCGGGGCCAAGCCGCGAACGGGUGAGUAACACGUGGGUAACCUGCCCUGAUGAUUGGGACAACCCGAGGAAACUCGGGCUAAUACCGAAUGUGCCCUCUGGCCUCAAGGCCUCUGGGGAAAGGAAGCUUCGGCCUCCGCAUCGGGAUGGGCCCGCGGCGCAUUAGCUUGUUGGUGAGGUAACGGCUCACCAAGGCGACGAUGCGUAGCUGGUCUGAGAGGACGAUCAGCCACACUGGGACUGAGACACGGCCCAGACUCCUACGGGAGGCAGCAGUGGGGAAUCUUGCGCAAUGCGCGAAAGCGUGACGCAGCAACGCCGCGUGGGGGAAGAAGGCCUUCGGGUUGUAAACCCCC
rnacentral:rRNA from 1 species